rnacentral:lncRNA from 1 species
CUAAAUAGGCUUCUAAACUAAAUUUGAAUAAUUUGGCCAUUCCAAUAACGAAGUCCAGCAGAUUUUAAUGGCAUUUUAAGCCUUAGAAAAUAAGGCUCUUUAAUGUAAAUGCUGACAUACCCUUAACCAAAGCGAGACAUCCAUCGACACAGUAAUAGCUUUAAGAGGGAGAGUAAAACACCUAUUUACAUUUUGAGUACUAGCCUAUUCCCUAAGCACAGGCACAUUUGGAUCAGAUAAAAGAAGCAGAAGUGAGCUCGGCUGACUGACAGGUGUCAGAGUGUAGGAGCAUGAAGGAGGGAUGGAUCUUUAACACCACCAUUAAAGAUCAUCCCCAUUUAGAAAUCAGAUGUUGUUAGGACCAAAUUGUACUCACUGACCAGGAGUCAAGCCGACCGUUGUCUACUUUACACUUGGGGAUGCAGUAUCGGCCCAAGUGUGUCACAGAUGGACCCAAACUCAUGCUUCCCAAGCAGUGAGGCCAGACCAUGGGACCAGCUCCGUGUUCACCUGUGGCGCCACACAAUGGCCAGGGCCCAACGCCAAGAAGACUGCAUGGAAACCACUCAUUGCAGAGGGAUGGACUUUGCAGAAGCCCAGGGAGCUGCCCGGAUGGUUCUGCAAGCCACGUCUGCCAGGGGACAGUGCAAAGGUCAGGUGUGGGUACUGGGG